GAAAAAUGACCCAAUAGCCCUUAAAUACGCGGAAACAAAAACUGGAAAAAUAAGAAAGUGUGCUAUGGAGCAUGCGCCGCGGGCUCUGGAGCACCAAAAUGGAGCGUGCGCUGCAGGCUUUGGAGCACUGAAAUGGAACAUGCGCCAUGGGCUCUUCUCAUGCUACUGAUGUAUUGGACCUCUAAACAUGCCCUUACGUUCGUCCAAAAAUUCUAAAACUUACCCGAGAUUGACCUUUGACACUCCCGA
rnacentral:lncRNA from 1 species